AGCGAACGCUGGCGGCAGGCUUAACACAUGCAAGUCGAGCGGGCAUCCUUGUGGUGUCAGCGGCUGACGGGUGAGUAACGCGUGGGAACGAGCCCUUCGGUUCGGAAUAACUCAGGGAAACUUGAGCUAAUACCGGAUACGUGCGAGAGCAGAAAGGUUUAUCUGCCGUAGGACCGGCCCGCGUCUGAUUAUUUAGUUGGUGAGGUUAUGGCUCCCCAAGGCGUCGAUCAGUAGCUGGUCUAAGAGCAUGAGCAGCCACACUGGGACUGGGACGCGGCCCGGACUCCUACGGGAGGCAGCAGUGGGGGAUAGUGGACAAUGGGGUCAACGCUGAUCCAGCCAGGCCGGGUGAGUGAUGACGGCCGUAGGGUUGAAAAGCGCUUUUCUCCGUGACGAUAAUGACGGUACCGGAGGAAUAAGCCCCGGCUAACUUCGUG
rnacentral:rRNA from 1 species